rnacentral:rRNA from 1 species
UGAGGAAUUUUCUGCAAUGGGCGAAAGCCUGACAGAGCAAUACCGCGUGAAGGAUGAAGGCCUAUGGGUUGUAAACUUCUUUUCUCAAGGAGGAAGAAUGACGUUACUUGAGGAAUAAGCAUCGGCUAACCCUGUGCCAGCAGCCGCGGUAAUACAGGGGAUGCAAGUGUUAUCCGGAAUCAUUGGGCGUAAAGCGUCUGCAGGUGGACACUUAAGUCUUUUGUUAAACCUCUAGGCUUAACCUAGAAUCUGCAAAGGAAACUAUUUGUCUUGAGUAUGGUAGAGGUAAAGGGAAUUUCCAGUGGAGCGGUGAAAUGCGUAGAUAUUGGAAAGAACACCAACAGCGAAGGCACUUUACUGGGCCAGUACUGACACUGAGAGACGAAAGCUAGGGGAGCAAACGGG